CCUCAAAAGUCUGGGUAUUAAUAUAAGGUGGAGUACACAGCAUCGUAUCGUCAGGCGUGCUAGCUAAGCAGGAUAAAUGGAAGCACAAGUUAGGGUGUGUGUAAGGCUCUCAAGGGAGGUGCACGGGAGUGGCUCUUUACAUGGCAGAAAAGAAUGACAACGUUUUGGGAGCAGAUUUUUUCAAGGGAAGGCGUGGAAGCUGAGGCUGCUCAGUGAGGACUGAAUUCAGAUUUGGCCAACAGGAGGGAAUGUGGAGCUGGGAAAAAUCAGCCUUGCAAGCAGGACGGUGUUCAGACACCACCAAGGAACUGAGGUGAGCUGGCUGCUGCAAGGACGCUGUGUACGGCACUGCUCCGCAGAAGGUGCAGAAGACAGACCUGGCCUGGGACAUCACACAGAUCUACCCCACGGAAAAGAAGAUCCCAGCAGAAGGCCAGCACACAGAUGUGUCGGAUCAUGCUGCAUUCCACACACUAGAAGUCACGAUCUCCUCACUGAGCCAUCAGAUCUCCUCACUGAGCCAUCAGGCAGCGUGACUUCGGCCUUCCUUACAUUUGAAAGCACUCAGACAUACUAGAAGAAAUUCCAGUCAUUGCAAAUAAAUUUAGCCUACUGCUAAAAAGCCAGAAGGUGCCUUGCAAAACACUCUCACUUUUACAGUAAGUGAUAGCACCAAUGUUCUUUACCUGGAGUCAUAAUCCUCCAAACAACAGUAAACUAAGAACAGAAUAGAGUCUGGAAAGUUUAAGUAAGAGAGCCCAUGAAAGACUCUCCAGCCCCAAGAGUCACAGAAUCACAGACUAAUUCAGGCUGGAAGGCAUCCCUGAGGCCAUCUGACCGGACAACCUGCUUAUAGCAGGGCUAACUUCAAAACUAGGUCAGGUUGCUCAAGGCCUCGACCAGCUGAGUUUUGAAAACUUCCCAGGACCAGGACUCCACAGCCUCUCUGGGCACCUGUUCCAGGUGCAUAAUCACCUUCAGGAUGAAAUUUUCUUUCCUCAUAUCCAGUCAGAGUUUGCCUUACUGCAAAAUGCGUCCAUUGCCUCUUGUACCUUUCCUGGUGCAUCUCUGAGAAGCAUCUGUCUCUGUCUUCUCUGUAGCCCCCUCUCUAAGCAGUGGAAGAUGGCAAUUAGCUUUCCCCUUCCCCUUCUCUUUUUGAGGCUAAACAAACCUUAUUGUCUCAGUGUCUCCUCCCAUGUCACGUGCCCCAGAUCAUCCUUGUGAUCCUCUGCUGAAUCCCCUCAUGUAAGGUGGACACAAUUCUCCAAAUGCCGCCUCAUGAAUACCAAAUUGAGGGAAUUGUCCUGCUGGCAAGCUUCUUGUUAGAGAAAGAUCCUCCUUCUUGCCUUUCUUGGAGGUGGGUGUGACAUUUGCCUCUCUUCUUGGCAUUGAGGACCUCAUGCAAUUAGCAUAAUCUUUCAAAUAUGAUAGGCGUGGCCUUGCAAUGACACCAGCCAGCUGCCUCAUAACUCUUGGAUCCACGCCAUCCCAUCCCAAGGACUUGUACAUGUCCCCGUGCUUAUGCUGAUGCAUUUCUUUACGCAGUCUCUGACUUCAUCUUCCCCUACCAUUGGCAAUAUUUGUUUCCUACAAACCCUGCCACAAGGCGUGCAGCUCUGGGAGGCUGAAGGCAGACUUUGACAGCAAAGAGUAACGAAAAGAAGAAAACGAGAUCUUCAGUCUUAUCUGGGUCUCCUAUUACCAGGUCUCCUGCCCUAUUAGACAUUGUUCCUAGCUGGCAAUACUUUAUCCAGGGGAGGUUUGGGUGUCCAAAUUCUGCAAUAAAUUUUCACUUAUGAA